rnacentral:tRNA from 1 species
GGGGAUAUGGCGGAAUAGGUAGACGCAACGGACUUAAAAUCCGUUGAAGGCAACUUCGUAAGGGUUCAAGUCCCUUUAUCCCCACCA